rnacentral:rRNA from 1 species
AAUGCCCGCAAGGGUGACCCAGCAACGCCGCGUGGAGGAUGAAGGCCGUAAGGUUGUAAACUCCUGUUAGAGGAGAAGAAUAGUACCGAUUGGAUCGGUAUAUGACUGUACCCUCAGAGAAAGCCCCGGCUAACUACGUGCCAGCAGCCGCGGUAAUACGUAGGGGGCAAGCGUUGUCCGGAUUUACUGGGUGUAAAGGGCGCGCAGGCGGAAUAGCAAGUCAGAGGUGAAAUCCUACAGCUUAACUGUAGAACUGCCUUUGAUACUGUUAUUCUUGAGUUCGGGAGAGAGAGACGGAAUUCCAGGUGUAGUGGUGAAAUACGUAGAUAUCUGGAAGAACACCAGUUGCGAAGGCGGUCUCUUGGUCCGAUACUGACGCUGAGGCGCGAAAGCGUGGGGAGCAAA